UCCAGCUGAGGGCUUGUGCCAAAUGAAUCAAAACCACCUGCAACAUACAUGACCUGAACUGAAUUUUUUGACAGAAAACAAUGCUGUGAUUGGACCUCGGAGGAAACUACACCCACACCAUCUGAUGUCUGUCCUGCUGCAGAUUCUGUGAUCAGGUACCUGGGGGAACUAUCUCUGAUUUGGACCCAUCUUGUCCACCAUAACUUGCAUCUGUAAGUGAAAUAAUUUCAAUGAUUAGGCAGUAAACUUGUAAGAGUAAAAAGAAAAGCAUAUUUACAGCAGAUGAACAGGUACAGUACCAUGAGAACUUGAGCCAGAUGGCUGAGAGUACCCGUCUCUACCGUUACUUCCUGUAACCCACACAGAAAUAUUACUGAGAGGAAAUUCUUUGUACAAUAAUAAAUCACUGCUGUCAAUCUUAAAAA
ensembl:lncRNA